rnacentral:misc_RNA from 1 species
AUGGCCGUACUGGUCGCCGCCGCGUCAUUCAUUUUUGGAAUUUUGUCUCAAGAAAGUAGUUAACGCACAUCACAUUUUUUAUUACGGUCUCUAAUACGGUGUCUAAUAUAUAUUUAAGCAUCGUAACCGUAAUUACUAAAAUUAGUGUGAUCCUUGUUUAGCGUUGUUUCGAUUCAACAAAUAUAUAUAGUGUCAGUGUUUAUCGCCCCCAAACUGGGGUUCGACGUUUGGGUCACCAAUUUUGGAAGUUUUCAUCUAACCCUUUAACCCCAACGACGAGAGUGCACUCCGCCGGGUUUUGAACUAUCCGUUCCUGCCGCCCCCGGUCGAUAGCGGAAUCUUGCCACGCGACUCCCGGGAUUAUCACCUGCACGGCGAGACAGGAGAGUACCUGAGCCGAACUGCAUUUGGAGCUUGUACCAGGGGAACCGUGACACCGCUUCGAGCAGUGCGCGACCGUUACCUCUGUCAUUCCGCGCUGGCGAGUGACGAGAAUAGGAAGAAUCGCCGAGGACUGUGAUCAUCUCUGUAGCCGACAUAGAUACUUGGCGCCAUCCAAGCGAGGACAAGAGGCAUCGAAUGUGAAAUGGAAAAUUAUAAUUCGGACACAAUUUUAUUACCACUACAACUUAAAGAUGAAACUCAGGUUGCGGAAUAAGUAAAUUCAGUGCGCUGCGCCGGCCGUCACCUCAGUCAUUAGGCGCUGGCGAGUGACGAGAUUCGAAAGCAUCACCUAGGACAUUGUACAUGCCUGUAGCCGAGCUAGACAUUUGUCAUCAUUGCGAUUGACGAAUAAGGACGAAGGGCGCCGAAAGUCGAACUGAGAAUUAUAAUUUCGAAACAAUUAACCCUAUAAUUUAAAGAAUAAUCUUAAACAGAUUCCGGAUGAAGUAAAUUCAGGUUAGUGUUUAUCUUUAUUUUAUUAGCUAUAGAGUUAGCGUUAUUUAAUAUUUUAUGAGUUUUAGCAAUUUUGAAGUUUUGAACAAAUGUGCUAAAGUACAAACAUUUCAUUGUAACGUCGUUUUUUUAAUAACUUAUCUCUUAAUAAUGAUUAAUGGUAUAAUAAUUUAGAUAAUUAACAUUGUUAACUGUGUUACAACUACCCUCAAGUAAAAUAAAUAUAUCUUAGAAUUUAUUAAUUGUUGCGUAGUUAAUCCGUAGCUAUACCUAUUCUUGUUCUACCUUGCUGUACAAUAUAUACUUAUUUGUUAGAAUUGUUAAAUAAAAAAAAUAUCCGGAUAACCAGAGGAUGUAUCCAAGGGCGGAUCUGCCGUUGUGGGCACCGUGGGCAUACAGACAACC